AGACAUAUCACAGCUUGAACUUCUUUGUUUUCUUUGAGAAUGUUCCAACGGUGGCUCAAAAGCCAAGAAUGUUAGGGUUUUCUGAGUGUGAAAGAUGGCGGCAUGCAGAGAGAACUUGUUUACGUCGCUCCGUACUCUGCAGAAUAAAUUAUAGUGAAAAUAAGGAAAGGUGACAAAAAACGUGGACCAGAGUGUUGUGCCAGUGCGUGUGUGCAAAGUGCGCAAGAAAAUUGGCGAGGAAAGGACUGGAUGAAACAAUAAAGC